UUCCAAGAUACAACUGUAUUUAUUUAACUGCCCACCUCUGCAUAAUUCCAUCCUUAUUUCAGACAUUGUGAUAUGCAGCUAUGUUUAGCUGGUGGUGUAUCACGAUGCCGAAAACCAAAUUAUCACCCAGCCCUCACACAGAUCGUGAUUCGCGAUAUCUUGCCAGGUCAGAUACUAUGAAACAGUUAUCACGAUAUGGGCUUCAAACCGGUUUUGGACGGUAAGUUGCCCAGCCCUGUACCUGAGAUAUUUAAACAAGAGAUGGUGGGGAUUAAAUCAAGGGAUCUUUCUGAAUGAAAGGAAAUUGCUUUGCCACUAAAGUAGCAUUGACAGCUUAGAGGGGGCAAGGUUAUGUAAAGCUCCAUCUGUCUUGAUGGCAACAUCACCAACAUCAUGGCGUAAGAAUGAAUGCCUUGAACAAUCUUUCCAAAAAUGCAAAGCGAGAGGAGCUGACUCAAUGAAGUUUAAAAAUUAUAAUUCUUCUGUAAUGG